CCGGCCACUAGAGGGCAGUGUCACUGCUGUCGCUGCCCGGUUAUGCCGCACUCUGACCCGGUAGUGCCGAGCGGCCAUUUUAGUUUCAACAUUGUUCAUUCACUCCGCCUCGAGUUGAGACGUUCGUUCAUUCAUUCAUGAAGGAGCAGAAAAACGGACUUCUACUGUGCAGCUAACUAGCUAACGUUAGCGGACCGGCUAACAAGAAAAUCGCGGGAGUUUAGGAGGAUGCUCCAGUCAGUCGGCAGUGAAAACUGGAAUGUUUGAAACCUCCACCAUCAUUGUGUUUGGACACCGGCAAUAUUCGCCUUAUUCACUCCGAACGUUCGAACAGCCUGAGGGGUACACUUAUGACUUCCGGUAAUUCUCAUAGCAAGUGAUGGCGCCUCACUGCUGUGUGCCCCAAUGCACUUCAUCACACAGGAAAAAGUCUUACAGAGGACAAACCUUUCACCGUUUCCCAAAUGAUCAGGGAAUACGCCAACAGUGGAUAAAGAACAUAAGAAGAGAUCCUGGUUGUCAUUUUAAGAUACACGCAUACACAAAAGUGUGCUCGGAACAUUUCCUCCCAGACUGCUUUGUGAAAACCCAGGCUGGCAUCACUAAACGCAUCACUAAACUGGAAAAGGGUGCAGUACCAACUGUGUUUGCAUGGAGUUCUUCAAAUCCAGAUAGGAGGAUGGUUGUGAGAACUGCAAGUAAUGUUUCCACGGACCUUGAUGAUCAACAAGGUGCGAAUGUGUUGAGUGAACAGACGCCCCCUCCACACCCAGACCAUGACUAUGCUCUACUGCCUCCCCCAGGCGAAUAUCAACUUGAGGAAGCCCGAAGAAAAAUUAGCCCAAGUGGACAUUUCAGUGCAGAUGAAGUUCAACAGACACAAGCAAUAGCAAGACUUCUGAUUCAUGUGGAGCGCGCUAUUAGACGGAUUAAAGAGUACCAUAUUUUUGAUAAAGUCUUACCCAUGACACUGGUGGGCUCUGUCAACCAACUAUGGGCCGUUUGUGCCAUUUUAACAAAUUUCCAAGGUCCUCUCUUUUGAAAUUGUAAUGUUAGUGUAAAUAUCUACCAAUCUUUAUGAAUCUAUGCAAAACCUUAACCUUUAUUAUUGUUUCUUUUUACGAAUCUAUACAAAACUUUCACUGUUAAUAUUGUUAAUUUUUUUAAUGAAUCUAGACAAUACGUGAACUUGUAUUGUUUGUUUUUGCCUAACCCUAACUAAAAUGUGUUUUCUUCUACAUACUUGAACUGACAUGGUUAUGUUUACAAACCCAUACAAAGCUCUUAAAACACUGAUAAAACUUGUAAAGAAUAAAGUACAAUUUUAUUACACAU